UGCUGGAGGUAUCAGAAGUGCGAAUGCUGACAUAAGUAACGAUAAAGCGGGUGAAAAGCCCGCUCGCCGGAAGACCAAGGGUUCCUGUCCAACGUUAAUCGGGGCAGGGUGAGUCGACCCCUAAGGCGAGGCCGAAAGGCGUAGUCGAUGGGAAACGGGUUAAUAUUCCCGUACUUGGUGUUACUGCGAAGGGGGGACGGAGAAGGCUAUGUUGGCCGGGCGACGGUUGUCCCGGUUUAAGCGUGUAGGUGUGUGUUCCAGGUAAAUCCGGUUCACUUUAACACUGAGGCGUGAUGACGAGGCACUACGGUGCUGAAGCAACAAAUGCCCUGCUUCCAGGAAAAGCCUCUAAGCAUCAGGUAACAUCAAAUCGUACCCCAAACCGACACAGGUGGUCAGGUAGAGAAUACCAAGGCGCUUGAGAGAACUCGGGUGAAGGAACUAGGCAAAAUGGUGCCGUAACUUCGGGAGAAGGCACGCUGACACGUAGGUGAAGUGAUUUACUCAUGGAGCUGAAGUCAGUCGAAGAUACCAGCUGGCUGCAACUGUUUAUUAAAAACACAGCACUGUGCAAACACGAAAGUGGACGUAUACGGUGUGACGCCUGCCCGGUGCCGGAAGGUUAAUUGAUGGGGUCAGCGCAAGCGAAGCUCCUGAUCGAAGCCCCGGUAAACGGCGGCCGUAACUAUAACGGUCCUAAGGUAGCGAAAUUCCUUGUCGGGUAAGUUCCGACCUGCACGAAUGGCGUAAUGAUGGCCAGGCUGUCUCCACCCGAGACUCAGUGAAAUUGAACUCGCUGUGAAGAUGCAGUGUACCCGCGGCAAGACGGAAAGACCCCGUGAACCUUUACUAUAGCUUGACACUGAACAUUGAGCCUUGAUGUGUAGGAUAGGUGGGAGGCUUUGAAGUGUGGACGCCAGUCUGCAUGGAGCCGACCUUGAAAUACCACCCUUUAAUGUUUGAUGUUCUAACGUGGACCCGUAAUCCGGGUUGCGGACAGUGUCUGGUGGGUAGUUUGACUGGGGCGGUCUCCUCCUAAAGAGUAACGGAGGAGCACGAAGGUUGGCUAAUCCUGGUCGGACAUCAGGAGGUUAGUGCAAUGGCAUAAGCCAGCUUGACUGCGAGCGUGACGGCGCGAGCAGGUGCGAAAGCAGGUCAUAGUGAUCCGGUGGUUCUGAAUGGAAGGGCCAUCGCUCAACGGAUAAAAGGUACUCCGGGGAUAACAGGCUGAUACCGCCCAAGAGUUCAUAUCGACGGCGGUGUUUGGCACCUCGAUGUCGGCUCAUCACAUCCUGGGGCUGAAGUAGGUCCCAAGGGUAUGGCUGUUCGCCAUUUAAAGUGGUACGCGAGCUGGGUUUAGAACGUCGUGAGACAGUUCGGUCCCUAUCUGCCGUGGGCGCUGGAGAACUGAGGGGGGCUGCUCCUAGUACGAGAGGACCGGAGUGGACGCAUCACUGGUGUUCGGGUUGUCAUGCCAAUGGCACUGCCCGGUAGCUAAAUGCGGAAGAGAUAAGUGCUGAAAGCAUCUAAGCACGAAACUUGCCCCGAGAUGAGUUCUCCCUGAGACUUAGAGUCUCCUGAAGGAACGUUGAAGACGACGACGUUGAUAGGCCGGGUGUGUAAGCGCAGCGAUGCGUUGAGCUAACCGGUACUAAUGAACCGUGAGGCUUAACCUU
rnacentral:rRNA from 6 species